rnacentral:tRNA from 1 species
GCUUCCGUGGUGUAGUGGCCAAGCAUUUAGCCCUUUCGAGGCUAAGACCCGGGUUCGACUCCCGGCGGAAGCA